ACGUAGGGGGCAAGCGUUACUCGGAAUUACUGGGCGUAAAGGGUGUGUAGGUGGCUGAUUAAGUUAAGGAUGAAAUCCCGAGGCUCAACUUCGGAACUGUCCUUGAUACUGGUCAGCUUGAGGCUAGUAAAGGAGAGCGGAAUUCCCGGUGGGGCGGUGAAAUGCGUAGGAAUCAGGAGGAACACCAGAGGUGUAGGCGGUUCUCUAGGCUGUACUUGACGCUGAGACACUAAAGUUUGGGUAGCAAACAG
rnacentral:rRNA from 1 species